GUUUGCGCCGCGCCUGCCGAUGCCGCGGACGAGGCCGACGCGGCAGGCACGGAGGCUGGCCGUGCCCAGGCCGCCCCUGCCCAGGAAAAGCCCUGCGGGGAUGAGGCGCCGGCAGGAGCUUGCCCGGCGCCUGCCCAGCCCCUGGCCCGCAGCGUUGCUGCCGACCCCGCUGGCAGCGCAGCCGUCCCGCAGCCCCCGGCCCCACGGCGAUGGCGCUUCACGGCCAAGAGGGCCCGGCGGGCUCUGCGCCGCCUUUUCUCCUGCAGCUGCCUCAGGGGGCAGCCGGAGGAGUGAGCCCGGGGCCAGCACCGGGUGACCAAGGCCACCACUUGCCAAAGGGCAACUGGGAAAGUGCCUCCCUGGAUGCCCUUAGAGUGGAGAAAGGUGUCAACCCUGGAUGAACGAUCUGGGGUCCUCACCUCCACACGAACGAUGGAUAGCCCAGUGCAGAGAGGCGCAGGGUGACAAAGGACCGAUGGGACACUGCUGGAGACAAACGUCCUGUACUGUCCUAUGUUUGAUCUCUUCCCCACUCCAUCCUCACUUUCCCCCCUCUUUCCUUCUCACUAUCCUGUUUCCUAUCCAGUUCAAUCUCUUAACCCCGCAUUUAUUGUUAAAUAAAAUCCCUGGUUUUGACUUUGGUA